rnacentral:rRNA from 1 species
UACAGAGGGGGCAAGCGUUGUUCGGAAUUACUGGGCGUAAAGGGCGCGUAGGCGGCCUGCUAAGUCGAACGUGAAAUCCCCAGGCUCAACCCGGGAACUGCGUCCGAUACUGACAGGCUUGAAUCCGGGAGAGGGAUGCGGAAUUCUAGGUGUAGCGGUGAAAUGCGUAGAUAUCUGGAGGAACACCGGUGGCGAAGGCGGCAUCCUGGACCGGCAUUGACGCUGAGGCGCGAAAGCCAGGGGAGCAAACGGG